rnacentral:rRNA from 1 species
UGGGGAAUAUUGGACAAUGGGCGCAAGCCUGAUCCAGCCAUGCCGCGUGAGUGAUGAAGGCCCUAGGGUUGUAAAGCUCUUUCACCGGCGAAGAUAAUGACGGUAACCGGAGAAGAAGCCCCGGCUAACUUCGUGCCAGCAGCCGCGGUAAUACGAAGGGGGCUAGCGUUGUUCGGAUUUACUGGGCGUAAAGCGCACGUAGGCGGACUUUUAAGUCAGGGGUGAAAUCCCGGGGCUCAACCCCGGAACUGCCUUUGAUACUGGAAGUCUUGAGUAUGGUAGAGGUGAGUGGAAUUCCGAGUGUAGAGGUGAAAUUCGUAGAUAUUCGGAGGAACACCAGUGGCGAAGGCGGCUCACUGGACCAUUACUGACGCUGAGGUGCGAAAGCGUGGGGAGCAAACAGGAUUAGAUACCCCUGGUAGUCCACGCCGUAAACGAUGAAUGUUAGCCGUUGGGGAGUUUACUCUUCGGUGGCGCAGCUAAACGCAUUAAACAUUCCGCCUGGGGAGUACGGUCGCAAG